rnacentral:lncRNA from 1 species
GCAGGUUUGUCUGGCCAAAGCUGCACCAAGAUCUUUUUGUGGGAACAAUUGUGAUGCAGUGCGUUGACUUUGGAACCCUAAGUCAGGGCUUCUGUGACCUUGACCAAGGGUUGCAGGUCUUGGAACCCAGGAUGACUCUCCAAAGCCUACAGCAACUUGCAGUGAAAAAAACUUCAAGGCUUGGAAGAUUGUGAGUGGUACCCUCUAUGAAAGGAUUUGUUCUUAUCAGCAUCUCUGAGUGUUGGCAGAAUGGAGCCAUAGGAAAGAACAUGGGCUUUGAAGCUGGACUGAUCUUUCGUUGAAUCGUGACUCUACUACUUCCCAGAUGCAUGGCUUUGUACCUCCUUGAGCCUCGGCUUUCUCAUCUCUCUGCAAAGAAAAGAAAUGGUUGGCUGAAAAACUCACGCCAUCUGCACUAUUUGAGCUCUCCAUUCCCCUGACUGCCCACUUGAAUACAGAACUUUUCAGCUAAAUCCCGUUGAUCAUUUGGCUCAUGCCCUCAUAUUAAACAGGAGAAUCCUGAAACCAAAGUCACUCAACUAGCCAGGGCAAAGCUGAGGUUGGGCUGGACUUCCCAGGACACACCCUGCCUCCUACUGAUGGACUCCUUCCUCAUGCAGCUGCAGAACGUGCAUGUACCUUUGCAGUCAGGAGGACUUGGGUUCAAACCCAAGCUUUGUCACCUGCUGAGUCUGUGACUUUAGGUGGAUUACAGAUGCUCCCAGCACUGCAGUUCACCCAUUUAUAAAAUGUAGAUUUUCACACAGUCUUCCAGGGUUAUUGCACAGAAUUGAGAUGACAUGAAACAUGCCCAGCCAGAGUCUGGCACAUCACAGCUGCCCAAUGCUAUUUGCCUUUGUCCUUCACUCAAAAUUCUCACCGCAAGUCAUAAUAAUGGAAAUAGCUCACAUUUCCUGAGUGCUUACUUAGGGCCAGGAAUGGGUCUAAGCACCUCACAUGUAUUAGCUUAUUUAUUCCUCUUUCUCUAAAGACAAAAGUAUCUUUCUUGAUUCCCUAAAGCUAUCCAUCCUCCCAACUACUGGACUGCCUGGCCUAGUGCCAUUUCAACAGAGUUAGCUGAUUUUAAACAAUAUGUUGCUGAAAUGAUUUCUUGCUUUCUGUCCUGGCAAGUAGCAGCCAGCUUGUCUGAUGUGACAAAAUGUGAUGAAACUAAAUGCUGUUUUCUUCGCUUUCAGUACAUAUGAGUGGUCCAAAAUCUGAACUCAAGGUUAACUCUUGCAGAGGGGGUUGGGCAAUAGUGAAGGGUGCAGGGAGGAGUGGCUUCUCAUAGAGUUAGGAACAGGGUGGCAGCUGGGGUGUUUGGGACACAGAUGAGGUCUCUCUCCACAGUCUAACAACCAGUAGUGAAAGAAGUCAGAGUUUUGCUGCAAAGUUCAAAAACUUUAGUUUGGUCUCCAGGCACCCACUACAUAAUUGCAUCGUCACCCCUCAGCCCAGCUCCCAUCUCAGCACAUCCAGUCCCUCCCUCCAGCCACCCUGAACUAGGCGCGGGGCCUAGAAUGCAUGUGUUCAAUCUCAUUAUUUCAUGUCUCUGAACUCUUGCAAUGGACUCCUGUCCUCUCACCCUGAAGUCCUC